rnacentral:tRNA from 1 species
GAUUCCGUAGCUCAGUUGGUAGAGCGCCACCUUGACAGGAUAGAGGUCGCUGGUUCGAACACAAUAGGAAUUA